rnacentral:rRNA from 1 species
GACGAACGCUGGCGGCGUGCUUAACACAUGCAAGUCGAACGGACAGGCCCUGCUUUUGUGGGUUGCUCGAUUGGCGCACGCGUGAGUAACACGUGAGUAACCUGCCCUUGACUUUGGGAUAACUUCAGGAAACUGGGGCUAAUACCGGAUAGGAUCUCCUGCUGCAUGGUGGUGGUUGGAAAGUUUCGGCGGUUGGGGAUGGACUCGCGGCUUAUCCGCUUGUUGGUGGGGUAGUGGCUUACCAAGGCUUUGACGGGUAGCCGGCCUGAGAGGGUGACCGGCCACAUUGGGACUGAGAUACGGACCAGACUCCUACGGGAGGCAGCAGUGGGGAAUAUGGCAGAAUGGGCGGAAGCCUGAUGCAGCAACGCCGCGUGCGGGAUGACGUGCUUCGGGUUGUAAACCGCUUUCGCCGGUGACGAAGCGGGAGUGACGGUAAUGGGUAAAGAAGCACCGGCUAACUACGUG